UACAGGGGGUGCAAACGUUGCUCGGAAUCAUUGGGCGUAAAGCGCACGUAGGCGGUUCGUUAUGUCGGAUGUGAAAGCCCUUGGCUUAACCGAGGAAGUGCAUCCGAAACUGGCGAGCUUGAAUUCGGGAGAGGGAUGUGGAAUUCCAGGUGUAGCGGUGAAAUGCGUAGAUAUCAGGAGGAACACCGGUGGCGAAGGCGGGUCUCUGGGCCGAUACUGACGCUGGAGGAGCGAAAGCCGUGGGGAGCGAACAGG
rnacentral:rRNA from 1 species